rnacentral:rRNA from 1 species
UAGUCCACGCCGUAAACGAUGAGAACUAGCCGUCGGGGCCCUUGAGGCUUUGGUGGCGCAGCUAACGCGAUAAGUUCUCCGCCUGGGGAGUACGGCCGCAAGGUUAAAACUCAAAUGAAUUGACGGGGGCCCGCACAAGCGGUGGAGCAUGUUGUUUAAUUCGAAGCAACGCGCAGAACCUUACCAACCCUUGACAUCCUAGGACCACCUGAGAGAUCAGGCUUUCCCUUACGGGACCUAGUGACAGGUGCUGCAUGGCUGUCGUCAGCUCGUGUCGUGAGAUGUUCGGUUAAGUCCGGCAACGAGCGCAACCCACAUCCUUAGUUGCCAGCAUUCAGUUGGGCACUCUAGGGAAACUGCCCGUGAUAAGCGGGAGGAAGGUGUGGAUGACGUCAAGUCCUCAUGGCCCUUACGGGUUGGGCUACACACGUGCUACAAUGGCAUCUACAGUGAGUUAAUCUCCAAAAGAUGUCUCAGUUCGGAUUGGAGUCUGCAACUCGACUCCA